rnacentral:lncRNA from 1 species
UUUUGUACCUUGUACAUCCUCUUCAAUAGAGACAGAGACAUUGAUAUCAGGAGAUGGCCUUUGAUUAGAUGUGGGCUCUUCUGAUACUUUCCAACUUCCGUUGUAAGAAUUUGUAGUAUUUGUUAUUUGUUGGUCAUUUGCAUUAUUGUUAACUGUUCCUCUAUGGUUCUGUUCUGUUAACUGAUUAUUAUCAGGUUUUGGCUGUGAGAUUGGUCUUGCCUCGGUUGCUACAUCUGGAGCACUUGAAAUUACAGAACUCAUUAUUGUAUGUUCGCGAUGA